rnacentral:rRNA from 1 species
GAUGAACGCUAGCUACAGGCUUAACACAUGCAAGUCGAGGGGCAGCAUGAUUGAAGCUUGCUUCAAUCGAUGGCGCCCGGCGCACGGGUGAGUAACACGUAUCCAACCUGCCGAUAACUCGGGGAUAGCCUUUCGAAAGAAAGAUUAAUACCCGAUAGUAUAGUAUUUCCGCAUGGUUUCACUAUUAAAGAACUUCGGUUAUCGAUGGGGAUGCGUUCCAUUAGAUAGUUGGCGGGGUAACGGCCCACCAAGUCAACGAUGGAUAGGGGUUCUGAGAGGAAGGUGCCCCACAUUGGAACUGAGACACGGUCCAAACUCCUACGGGAGGCAGCAGUGAGGAAUAUUGGUCAAUGGACGAGAGUCUGAACCAGCCAAGUAGCGUGAAGGAUGACUGCCCUAUGGGUUGUAAACUUCUUUUAUACGGGAAUAAAGUGGAGUAUGCAUACUCCUUUGUAGGUACCGUAUGAAUAAGGAUCGGCUAACUCCGUG